rnacentral:rRNA from 1 species
UACAGAGGUCUCAAGCGUUGUUCGGAUUCAUUGGGCGUAAAGGGUGCGUAGGCGGCGCGGUAAGUCGGGUGUGAAAUUUCGAGGCUUAACUUCGAAACUGCAUCGAUACUGCCGUGCUUGAGGACUGGAGAGGAGACUGGAAUUUACGGUGUAGCGGUGAAAUGCGUAGAUAUCGUAAGGAAGACCAGUGGCGAAGGCGGGUCUCUGGACAGUUCCUGACGCUGAGGCACGAAGGCCAGGGGGAGCAAACGGG